GGUGUUGUAAGGAAAUGAGACCAGAAGGACAAGCUAAAUUAUGCAUUCUUACUUGAGGGACUGGAAUGGAUGGGGCGGAGUUCCCUUCAGGUUAGCCUUCUGGGGAAAGUGGAUUUCUUUUUAAGAGAUUCAUCAUACCUUGACCUGUGCCUCUUUUCUGCCCUCCACUUCCCUGCCCUGGAGCCCAUUUCUGGAGACUAGAAAUGUAUCUAAAUUGGGGGAACAGAAUGAAUGAAUGAGAGUUCCUUUGCUUUAACCAUUCCUGGAUGUCUGCAAAGUAAGGAAUAGUGCACUUUUUAUGUAUCUGAUUUUAUAAGGGGUUACUCUUUCAAGAGCAACAAAAAAAUGCAAAUUGUAAUGAAACUGGUAGUAUUUCUGAGUGUGAAAACGACAGGCUGCCCCAUUUUUUACUAAUUGCAUUUGCAUUUUAAGGUACUACUGAAGGUCAGAUCAAAGUUGAAAUGCAAAAAUACUAAUUAGGUAAUAAUGUGAAUAAAUGGGAAUCCUCUUGGUAUUUUAUGUGUAUUGUAAGUAGCAGUUAAAUUAUUUUUGUAAAAGCAAUUUCAGUUUUAAUCACUGAACAAAAGAAACAGGCAACAUUCACUUCUGUAGUAUGGUUUCCAGCUAUCUCUAACACCACUAUUAAGGUACACCAGUGUUAAGGUACAUUAAUAACUACACAAAAUUUUAUUUAAAGAGGGCACUUAGCAGCCUAUGAUAGUUUUAAAUAAAAUGUUGCCUCUCCUUCGGAUUCUCACUAACUUGUGUUACUAUUCUAAAAGUUUGCAUUUGCUGGGGUGUUUAUUCUGAGGAUCAUAUAACCAUUGUUCUACUUGGCAUAACCCUGUUUAAUGGUGCUGAGAGCUGAAUUACCUACAGAAACUGUUUCUGGUUUAAAUAAUUAGCACAAAUUGGCUCAUGAGCCCAUGUUUCUGUGAAGUAAUUAUUAAACCAACGUAAUGAUCCUCACGUAAGGUACACUUUUUAUUUUACUACAUUGGUAGUCUCUAUGACUUGUAGCAAUGUUUUAUAAAUGUUUAAAAUGCUAAACUUAAUUUUCCAACCUUUUCUUGACAAUUAGAUACCUAUCCUGUAGUUACUGAAAAUCUGGGUAGUAAAUCUACCCAGUUAAAAUGGCACUUUAUAAAAGGGAAUAGAGAAGAGAUGGGACUAUUUCUAUAUUUAAAUGCUGCUGGCUAUUAAAUUCCUUUGUAUAUAAAUGAAAAAUACCAUUCAUUAAAAUUAAGGACUUAAGUGUGGUUCUUAAUUACAUUUCAUUCGUUUAUGUUAGAGUAAAUGGCUUCAUAAUUACUUUAAAAUUUAACCCACAAGCAUAUGAAAUCUGUUUGUCAUAAAAUUGGAAACAAUUUUUGAGAGGGACUAAUUUAAACAAGUCCUUCUCCUUUAGUCUUUUGGGUCACGUAAUUGCUGAAACCUAAGUACCUACAGACUACAGGAUAAGGAAGUUCACAGCCUGCAGGGUGAAUGAACCCAUGUGUGAACUGCACAAAGCAAUUCAUAGAAAAUGCACAGAAAUUUGUAACACUUUUGUCACGUCUGUCUCUAGAUGCUCAUUGAAUUUGUUUAAAGAUGGAUGAAAGGCCGGGCAUAGUGGCUCACGCCUGUGAUCCCAGCAUUUUGGAAGGCCGAGGUAGGUGGAUCACUUGAGGCCAGGAGUUUGAAACCAGCCUGGCCAACAUGGUAAAAACGUGUCUCUUCUAAAAA
ensembl:lncRNA